UACUCGUCGGAACUCCUCGUCCCAUCGGUAAUUUGGUCUUCCUCUGCUCCUUUUCCUUGUUCGUGGGUACCAGUCCAAUAUUCCUCUUGUCCAUCUUUCGUCUCUUGUUCGAGCUAUAUGGCCAGCCCAAUUCCAUUUUCUUUCUACAAUUGUCCUGCCAAUAUCGUCAAUUUUCGUCACAUUCCUGACCCAUGUAUAUUCUGAGUAGA